CCGGUCGGAGGUGAAAAUUUAUAUAAAGGAGGAGGCUGCUGUGGAUUCCUCUGCAUCCCAUUAACAUUAAACUCAAGAUGGCUGUCAAACUUUCUACUGCCCUUAUAGUUUGCUUCAUUGCAUUUCUCAUCCUCGCUAACCAUAUUGUUUCCCCUCGACAACUGAUCGUGCAGGUUGAUGGUCCUGUCGGAGGAAACGUGUCCCCUGGAUCUAAGCGUUGUCUUUACGAGCACUGCUAGAAAAGCAGCCUUGUAUUCAUAUUUCAUAUGUUGUCCUAUAUAAACGGCGCAUGCUAGACUAGAGACAGAUGUAAUGGGAAUAUAUAUAAUAUAUAUUUAGAAGCAAGAUCGAUCGAUGCCUCCAAAGUGUCAAGUUGGCAUGAUGUGUAUGGAAGUGAUCAAUAAAUAUAGAUUUUAAGAUA